GCAAAUGAGAUCAAGGUCAUUCUUAUCCAAAAACUCCGCAACACGGUCAGGUCCAAAGGUACAUGAAACACCUCGAUCACUGUCUGACCAGCCCUCAACCUUGGCAUCAGGAUCAGACCAGAGCAGAUCACAAAGAAGACCACUAUCAGGAAUUUCAGUGGGCCUCUGAAUUUCCCUUAUUUGGUCCACUUUCUCCAACUCUGGAGAUAGGCCGCCAUGCAUACACAGUAUCUUCUCAUCAAUGAGUGCAGCCACAGGCAAACAAUUAAAGCAGUCAGUAAAUAUUUUCCAAAGCCUAACGUUGAAUCUUCUUUUACACUCAUCAUAAAACCCAUAUAUCCGAUUGAUCUUUGCAUCCUCAUGAUUUCCCCUCAAGAGAGAAAUUUUGUCAGGAUAUCUGAUUUUGUAGGCCAGAAGCAGACAUAUGGUCUCCAAACUUUGUUUCCCUCGAUCAACAUAAUCUCCAAGAAAGAGGUAGUUGCAAGAAGGAGGGAAGCCACCAUACUCAAAUAGC
rnacentral:misc_RNA from 1 species